GAACGGAGCUGAGAGGAGCUUGCUUUUCUUAGCUUAGUGGCGAACGGGUGAGUAACGCGUGAGUAACCUGCCCUGGAGUGGGGGACAACAGUUGGAAACGAUUGCUAAUACCGCAUAAGCCCACGAUCCGGCAUCGGAUUGAGGGAAAAGGAUUUAUUCGCUUCAGGAUGGACUCGCGUCCAAUUAGCUAGUUGGUGAGGUAACGGCCCACCAAGGCGACGAUUGGUAGCCGGACUGAGAGGUUGAACGGCCACAUUGGGACUGAGACACGGCCCAGACUCCUACGGGAGGCAGCAGUGGGGGAUAUUGCACAAUGGGGGAAACCCUGAUGCAGCGACGCCGCGUGGAGGAAGAAGGUUUUCGGAUUGUAAACUCCUGUCGUUAGGGACGAUAAUGACGGUACCUAACAAGAAAGCACCGGCUAACUACGUGCCAGCAGCCGCGGUAAAACGUAGGGUGCAAGCGUUGUCCGGAAUUACUGGGUGUAAAGGGAGCGCAGGCGGACCGGCAAGUUGGAAGUGAAAACUAUGGGCUCAACCCAUAAAUUGCUUUCAAAACUGCUGGCCUUGAGUAGUGCAGAGGUAGGUGGAAUUCCCGGUGUAGCGGUGGAAUGCGUAGAUAUCGGGAGGAACGCCAGUGGCGAAGGCGACCUACUGGGCACCAACUGAC
rnacentral:rRNA from 1 species